rnacentral:rRNA from 1 species
CCUACGGGUGGCUGCAGUGAGGAAUAUUGGUCAAUGGACGAGAGUCUGAACCAGCCAAGUAGCGUGAAGGAUGACUGCCCUAUGGGUUGUAAACUUCUUUUAUAUGGGAAUAAAAUGUUCCACGUGUGGGAUUUUGUAUGUACCAUAUGAAUAAGGAUCGGCUAACUCCGUGCCAGCAGCCGCGGUAAUACGGAGGAUGCGAGCGUUAUCCGGAUUUAUUGGGUUUAAAGGGAGCGUAGGUGGUUUGUUAAGUCAGUUGUGAAAGUUUGCGGCUCAACCGUAAAAUUGCAGUUGAAACUGGCAGGAUUGAGUACAGUAGAGGUGGGCGGAAUUCGUGGUGUAGCGGUGAAAUGCGUAGAUAUGACGAAGAACUCCGAUUGCGAAGGCAGUUCACUGGACUGCAACUGACACUGAGGCUCGAAAGUGUGGGUAUCAAACAGGAUUAGAUACCCGGGUAGUC